rnacentral:pre_miRNA from 10 species
ACACAUAUAUGUAUACACAUAUAUGUGUAUAUGUACAUAUAUACACAUGUAUGUGUGUAUGUAUAUAUGUGUA